AGAGUUUGAUCAUGGCUCAGAUUGAACGCUGGCGGCAUGCCUUACACAUGCAAGUCGAACGGCAGCAUAGGAGCUUGCUCCUGAUGGCGAGUGGCGAACGGGUGAGUAAUAUAUCGGAACGUGCCCUAGAGUGGGGGAUAACUAGUCGAAAGACUAGCUAAUACCGCAUACGAUCUACGGAUGAAAGUGGGGGAUCGCAAGACCUCAUGCCCCUGGAGCGGCCGAUAUCUGAUUAGCUAGUUGGUGGGGUAAAAGCCUACCAAGGCAACGAUCAGUAGCUGGUCUGAGAGGACGACCAGCCACACUGGGACUGAGACACGGCCCAGACUCCUACGGGAGGCAGCAGUGGGGAAUUUUGGACAAUGGGGGCAACCCUGAUCCAGCAAUGCCGCGUGAGUGAAGAAGGCCUUCGGGUUGUAAAGCUCUUUUGUCAGGGAAGAAACGGUAGUAGCGAAUAACUAUUACUAAUGACAGUACCUGAAGAAUAAGCACCGGCUAACUACGUGCCAGCAGCCGCGGUAAU
rnacentral:rRNA from 1 species